AAAACACGGGGAAACCCACUAGUUAUAUUUUAUUAUAUAAUAUAACAAAGAAAAGAGUAAACUUAUUAAUUUAGAUUAUUUUUUUAUUUUAUUAUUAUAAUUAAUUUUAGCAUAUUUUGUUUUUCUGUUGUAAUUUUAAUUUACAAUAUUUUAAAGAAAUUUAAUACCGUGAAUUAAAAACGUGCAUAUAAUGUAUGGUUUUGUUGAUACGACGUGUCUAUUUUUAUCUACAUCUCAAUAUAUAUUAUUUUUCAAAACCAAAUUGUGAGUAAUAUUGUAAAAGUAAUUGAAGUAAAAUCACAUGUGUUAUCAAGAUCACCUCACAUUUAAUUUUUUAAUAGACCUCAUUUUCCCGUUUCGUUAUUCGAAUAAUAUAAUUUAAUGUUUAGCAAAUUUUUGAUCAUGAUGAGCUUGUUCAAAAUUAAAUGGAUUAAAUCUAAUAGAUGUUUUAUUGAAAAUCGUAACAACCCAGGGCCGGCCCAACAGUAUAAUCUA
rnacentral:lncRNA from 1 species